AUUGAACGCUGGCGGCAGGCCUAACACAUGCAAGUCGAGCGAGCGGCGGACGAGUGAGGAAUGCCGGGGAAUUGCUCAGUCGGGGGGGAUAACAGUUGGAAACGACUGCUAACCCCACAUUCGAUUGGAUUCCCCAGGUGGGAUUAGGUAGUUGGGUAGGUAAUGGCUCACCAAGGCGACGCUCCCUAGCUGGUCUGAGAGGAUGAUCAGCCACACUGGAACGUAGACACGGCCCAGACUCCUACGGGAGGCAGCAGUGGGGAAUAUUGCACAAUGGGGGAAACCCUGAUGCAGCCAUGCCGCGUGUAUGAAGAAGGCCUUAGGGUUGUAAAGCACUUUCAGUGGGGAGGCGUUACCGGCAGAAGAAGCACCGGCUAACUCCGUGCCAGCAGCCGCGGUAAUUC
rnacentral:rRNA from 1 species